rnacentral:rRNA from 1 species
GACGAACGCUGGCGGCGUGCCUAAUACAUGCAAGUCGAACGAGAGCGACCGGUGCUUGCACUGGUCAAUCUAGUGGCGAACGGGUGAGUAGCACGUGGGUAACCUGCCCAUCAGAGGGGGAUAACAUUCGGAAACGGAUGCUAAAACCGCAUAGGUCUUCGAACCGCAUGGUUUGAAGAGGAAAAGAGGCGCAAGCUUCUGCUGAUGGAUGGACCCGCGGUGCAUUAGCUAGUUGGUGAGGUAACGGCUCACCAAGGCCGUGAUGCAUAGCCGACCUGAGAGGGUGAUCGGCCACAUUGGGACUGAGACACGGCCCAAACUCCUACGGGAGGCAGCAGUAGGGAAUCUUCCGCAAUGGACGCAAGUCUGACGGAGCAACGCCGCGUGAGUGAAGAAGGUUUUCGGAUCGUAAAACUCUGUUGUUAGAGAAGAACAAGUGCUAGAGUAACUGUUAGCGCCUUGACGGUAUCUAACCAGAAAGCCACGGCUAACUACGUG